rnacentral:rRNA from 1 species
AUGGACCCCGAGACAGCUAUUGAUGCCAUUGUGAUCGACUACGUCACCGACGACACUUCUUCCCUUUCAGCGGAGCUUCCAGAUGGUGGAUCCCUGGAGCCAGAUGCCAUCGCCGAUGGAUGCUACUACGUGGAGACCGCCGAUGACCAGGAGUGGUUUAGGAGGUCCCAGGCAAGAGGCCUUGCCUCUUCGACCGUUGUUGCUUUUGUGCUAGCCUUCUUAAGGCAUCCUUGUUUAACUUAUGUAUGUACUCAGAUAUUGUUGCUUCCGCCGACUCUUGUGUAUCGAGCUAUGUAUUCGAGCCCUCGAGGCCCCUGGCUUGUAAUAUAA